GGGCACUUGGUCUAGGGGUAGUACGUUACCAUGUCCACAUACCAAAUAUUGGUCUACAAUGCUAACAGCACCAAAGUGAUUCUCGCUUCGCAUCUCUUGAUGACAUGAUUGUGAGCGGUCAUGGGUUCAAUUCCCAUAGUGUCCA